rnacentral:rRNA from 1 species
GACGAACGCUGGCGGCGGGCUUAACACAUGCAAGUCGAACGGAAAGGCCCUGCUUUUGUGGGGUGCUCGAGUGGCGAACGGGUGAGUAACACGUGAGUAACCUGCCCUUGACUUUGGGAUAACUUCAGGAAACUGGGGCUAAUACCGGAUAGGGGCUCCUGCUGCAGGGGGGGGGUUGGAAAGUUUCGGCGGUGGGGGGUGGAGUCUCGGCUUAUCAGCUUGUUGGUGGGGUAGUGGCUUACCAAGGCUUUGACGGGUAGCCGGCCUGAGAGGGUGACCGGCCACAUUGGGACUGAGAUACGGACCAGACUCCUACGGGAGGCAGCAGUGGGGAAUAUUGCACAAUGGGCGGAAGCCUGAUGCAGCAACGCCGCGUGCGGGAUGACGGCCUUCGGGUUGUAAACCGCUUUCGCCUGUGACGAAGCGUGAGUGACGGUAAUGGGUAAAGAAGCACCGGCUAACUACGUG